rnacentral:lncRNA from 1 species
CCUUUCCAUUCCUAUCAUGUUGAUUCCAUUCCAUUCAAAUCCACUAUAUUCCAUGCGGUUUGAUUCCAAUCCAUUUCAUUCCAUUCCAUUCCAUUCCAUUCCAUUUAAUUCCAUUCCAUUCCACUCGGGUUGAUUCUAUUCCCUUUCAUUCCAUUCCAUUCCAUUCCAAUCCAUUCCACUCUUAUUGGUUCCAUUCCAUUGCAUUGCAUUCCAUUUCAUUCCAUUCCAUUCCACUCAUGUUGAUUCCAUUCCAUUCCAUUUCAUUCCAUUAAAUUCUUUUCUGUACCUUUCCAUGCCAUUUCACUCGGGGUAAUUCCAUUCAAUUCCAUUCCAUUACAUUCCAUUUGGGUUGAUUCCAUUCCAUUCCAUUCCGUUCAAUUCCAUUCAACUCUUGCUGAUUCCAUUCAAAUCCAUUGCUUUCCAUUCCACUCCAUUUCAUUCCAGUCCACUCAGGUUGAUUCCAUUCCAUUCCAUUCCAUUAAAUUCCAUUCCGUUCCUUUCCAUUCCAUUUCACUCGGGUUAAUUCCAUUCCAUUCCAUUCCAUUCAAUUCCAUUCCACUCGGGUUGAUUCCAUUCCAUUCCAUUCCAUUCAAUUCCAUUCCACUCUGGUUGAUUCCAUUCCAUUCCAUUCCAUUCCAUUCCAUUCCAUUCCAUUCCAUUCCAUUCCAUUAUAUUCGAUUCAAUUCCAUUCCACUCAGGUUGAUUUCAUUCCAUUCAAUUCCAUUCAAUUCUAUUCCACUCUGGUUGAUUCCAUUCCAUUCCAUCCCAUUCCAUUCCAUUCCAUUCCAUUCCAUUCCAUUCCAUUCCAUUCCAUUCCAUUCCAUUCCAUUCCUUUGCAUUCCAUUCCGUUCCAUUGCAUUCCUUUCCAUUCGAUUCCAUUCGGGUUGACUCCAUUGCUUUCAAUUCCAUUCCAUUCCAUUCCAUUCUAUUCCAUUCCCUUCCAUUCCAGUUUUGUUGAUUCCAUUCCAUACCAUUCCAUUCCAUUCCAUUCCAUUCCAUUCCUUUGCAUUACAUUCCACACAGGUUGAUUCCAUUCCAUUCCAUUCAACUGCAUUCCAUUCCAUUCCAUUCCUUUCCAUUCUAGUUGAUUCCAUUCCAUUCCAUUCGAUUCCAGCUGAUUCCAUUGCAUUCAAAGCAAUUCCAUUCCAUUCCUCUCCAUUCCAUUCCAUUCCAUUCAAUUACA